GAGUUUGAUCAUGGCUCAGAAUGAACGUUGGCGGCGUGGAUUAGGCAUGCAAGUCGAGCGAGAACCUGGCUGUGGAGGCUUCGGCCAAAGCAGCUGGGGGAAAGCGGCGAAAGGGAGAGUAACGCGUGGAUACCUACCUCCAGGUCCGGGAUAGCUGCGGGAAACUGCGGGUAAAACCGGAUAAUGUCUCCGGACCAAACGGUGAGAUUCCGCCUGGAGAUGGGUCCGCGUCCUAUUAGCUUGUUGGUGAGGUAAUGGCUCACCAAGGCCGUGAUGGGUAGCGGGCGUGAGAGCGUGGCCCGUCUCACUGGGACUGAGACACUGCCCAGACACCUACGGGUGGCUGCAGUCGAGAAUCUUCCGCAAUGGGCGCAAGCCUGACGGAGCGACGCCGCGCGCGGGAUGAAGGCCUUCGGGUUGUAAACCGCUGUCAGCGGGGAGCAAAUCCAUGGGGGUUAUCCCUUAUGGUUGAGCGAUCUGCAGAGGAAGCGCAGGCUAAGUUCGUGCCAGCAGCCGCGGUAACACGAACUGCGCGAACGUUAUUCGGAAUCACUGGGCUUAAAGGGCGCGUAGGCGGCUUUGUAGGUGGGGUGUGAAAUCCCUCGGCUCAACCGAGGAACUGCGCCCCAAACCGCGGGGCUUGAGGGAGAUAGAGGUGAGCGGAACUGAUGGUGGAGCGGUGAAAUGCGUUGAUAUUAUCAGGAACACCUGUGGCGAAAGCGGCUCACUGGGUCUCUUCUGACGCUGAGGCACGAAAGCUAGGGGAG
rnacentral:rRNA from 1 species